rnacentral:rRNA from 1 species
CGCAUCUGUGCAUGCAGCAUAUCAAUAAGCGGAGGAAAAGAAACUAACAAGGAUUCCCUUAGUAACGGCGAGUGAAGCGGGAAGAGCUCAAAUUUGAAAUCUUCGAGGUUUUACCUUGACGAAUUGUAGUUUAAAGAAGUGUUUUCUGCUGAAGUUUUGGUAAAAGUUCUUUGGAAUAGGACAUCAUAGAGGGUGAGAAUCCCGUAUUUGACCAUUACUUUUCAACUUUGUGAUACACUUUCAAAGAGUCGGAUUGUUUGGGAAUGCAGUCCAAAAUGGGUGGUAAAUUUCAUCUAAAGCUAAAUAUUGGCGAGAGACCGAUAGCGAACAAGUACCGUGAGGGAAAGAUGAAAAGAACUUUGAAAAGAGAGUUAAACAGUACGUGAAAUUGUCAAAAGGGAAGCGUUUGACACCAGUGUUGUUUUUCUGAAAAUCAAUUAAAGAACUGUUUAUGCUAAGUUGUUUAGACUUUAUCAGCUAACUGUUUAGUUUUGAGCUUUUCUUUAAUGCACUUUUCAGUUAACAAGUCAACAUCAAUUUCUUUUGCUGUAAAAAAGCUUGAGGAAGGUGGCUUGAGAUUCGUCUUAAGUGUUUAUAGCCUCUUGCCUAUGCAGUCGGAGAGAUUGAGGUCUGCAGCGUAGAUCCUUCGGGGCUAAAUGCAUUUGUGCUAAGUUAUAACAUUUUAUAGACAACUUGUUGACUAUGAUUUGUCUUGUAGCUUACUCGCUUAUGUUAUUUUACCUACGCUUAGGAUGUUGAUAGUCACAGCGUGUAC